rnacentral:rRNA from 1 species
UACGGGGGGGGCAAGCGUUGUUCGGAAUUACUGGGCGUAAAGGGCUCGUAGGUGGCCAACUAAGUCAGACGUGAAAUCCCUCGGCUUAACCGGGGAACUGCGUCUGAUACUGGAUGGCUUGAGGUUGGGAGAGGGAUGCGGAAUUCCAGGUGUAGCGGUGAAAUGCGUAGAUAUCUGGAGGAACACCGAUGGCGAAGGCAGGUCUCUGGGCCACUACUGACGCUGAGAAGCGAAAGCAUGGGGAGCGAACAGG